rnacentral:rRNA from 1 species
AUUGAACGCUGGCGGCAUGCCUUACACAUGCAAGUCGAACGGUAACGGGCCUUCGGGUGCCGACGAGUGGCGAACGGGCGAGUAAUACAUCGGAACGUGCCCGAUCGUGGGGGAUAACGAGGCGAAAGCUUUGCUAAUACCGCAUACGAUCUACGGAUGAAAGCAGGGGACCGCAAGGCCUUGCGCGGACGGAGCGGCCGGUGGCGGAUUAGGUAGUUGGUGGGAUAAAAGCUUACCAAGCCGACGAGUUGUAGCUGGUCGGAGAGGAUGAUGAGCCACACUGGGACUGAGACACGGCCCAGACUCCUACGGGAGGCAGCAGUGGGGAAUUUUGGACAAUGGGCGCAAGCCUGAUCCAGCCAUGCCGAGUGCAGGAUGAAGGCCUUCGGGUUGUAAACUGCUUUUGUACGGAACGAAAAGCCUUCUUUUAAUACGGGAGGUUCAUGACGGUACCGUAAGAAUAAGCACCGGCUAACUACGUG